rnacentral:rRNA from 1 species
AGAGUUUGAUCCUGGCUCAAGACGAACGCUGGCGGCACGCUUAACACAUGCAAGUCGAACGAAACAAGACAAGCUUGCUUUUCUGAUCUAGUGGCGGACGGGUGAGUAACACGUGAGCAAUCUGCCUUUCAGAGGGGGAUACCGAUUGGAAACGAUCGUUAAUACCGCAUAACAUAAUUGAACCGCAUGAUUUGAUUAUCAAAGAUUUAUCGCUGAAAGAUGAGCUCGCGUCUGAUUAGCUAGUUGGUAAGGUAACGGCUUACCAAGGCGACGAUCAGUAGCCGGACUGAGAGGUUGAUCGGCCACAUUGGGACUGAGACACGGCCCAGACUCCUACGGGAGGCAGCAGUGGGGAAUAUUGCACAAUGGAGGAAACUCUGAUGCAGCGAUGCCGCGUGAGGGAAGAAGGUUUUAGGAUUGUAAACCUCUGUUUUCAGGGACGAAAAAAGACGGUACCUGAGGAGGAAGCUCCGUCUAACUACGUGCCAGCAGCCGCGGUAAUACGUAGGGAGCUAGCGUUGUCCGGAAUUACUGGGUGUAAAGGGAGCGCAGGCGGGAUACCAAGUCAGAUGUGAAAACUAUGGGCUUAACCCAUAAACUGCAUUUGAAACUGUUGUUCUUGAGUGAAGUAGAGGUAAGCGGAAUUCCUAGUGUAGCGGUGAAAUGCGUAGAUAUUAUGGAGGAACAUCAGUGGCGAAGGCGGCUUACUGGGCUUUAACUGACGCUGAGGCUCGAAAGCGUGGGGAGCAAAACAGGAUUAGAUACCCUGGUAGUCCACCCCGUAAACGAUGAUUACUAGGUGUGGGGGGAGUGACCCCUUCCGUGCCGCAGCAAACGCAAUAAGUAAUCCACCUGGGGAGUACGGCCGCAAGGUUGAAACUCAAAGGAAUUGACGGGGGCCCGCACAAGCAGUGGAGUAUGUGGAUUAAUUUGAAGCAACGCGAAGAACCUUACCAGGUCAUGACAUCGUAUGCAUAGCUCAGAGAUGAGUGAAAUCUCUUCGGAGACAUAUAGACAGGUGGUGCACGGUUGUUGUCAGCUCGUGUCGUGAGAUGUUGGGUUAAGUCCCGCAACGAGCGCAACCCUUACUGUUAGUUGGUACGCAAGAGCACUCUAGCAGGACUGCCGUUGUCAAAACGGAGGAAGGUGGGGAUGACGUCAAAUCAUCACGCCCCUUAUGACCUGGGCCUCACACGUACUACAAUGGCUGUCAACAGAGGGAGGCAAAGCCGCGAGGUGGAGCGAACCCCUAAAAGCAGUCUUAGUUGGGAUGGUAGGCUGCAACCCGCCUCCAUGAAGUCGGAAUUGUUAGUAAUCGCAGAUCAGCAUGCUGCGG